rnacentral:misc_RNA from 1 species
GAUGAAGAACGUAGCGAAAUGCGAUAAGUAAUGUGAAUUGCAGAAUUCAGUGAAUCAUCGAAUCUUUGAACGCACAUUGCGCCCCCCAGUAUUCUGGCGGGCAUGCCUGUUCGAGCGUCAUUUCAACCAUCAAGCCCUGCUUGUGUUGGGGUCCUUCGGCUGCCCGCAGGCCCUGAAAACCAGUGGCGGGCUCGCUAGUCACACCGAGCGCAGUAGCACAUCUCGCUCAGGGCGUGCGGCGGGCUCCAGCCGUUAAAGCACCCACCUUUCGCAAGGUUGACCUCGGAUCAGGUAGGAAUACCCGCUGAACUUAAGCAUAUCAAUAAGCGGAGGA